rnacentral:lncRNA from 1 species
AUGUUUCAAUAUGGAUGGAAGUCCUUUAACAACACAUUUUGUUUGUUCUGCAGGAUCACUUCAAACCAGAUUGUUGGCAAGAUGGAAUACAGCUUCCAGGAUGGAGAUGUCAUACAACCAGUCAGUUUCCUCAAUGAGCUACGUCAACCAACCACUACAACAGUUUUUCCAGAAACAACAGCAGUGUUUCUGUUACUACUCCCAACCUCAUGUAAAAUUGUGGUUUUCUAUUUUGAGAGAAAUCAUAAAUGUACAAGUCAUAAUUUCAAUAGAAAAAAUGGAUGUACAUUAAACAAACGUUUUACAUUUACAGAUCUGGUUCAGCAGUGGUCACAAAGCAAGCUGGUGUUCAACUCCUCAUCUCCAGUGCCCAGUGAAUCUCUGGUCCUCAGUGCUAUCAAUACUCUCCGUCAUUCCAGAGAGUCACAGCUCAAUGAAUCGGUGAAGGUGCUGAAUGUCACCUAUGAGAAAAUCUCAGAAACCUCCUAUGCUGUGGUCUUUACAUUUAACGUGAUUAACAUCAGCAUGCCAGAGGACCCUGUGUCUAGAGGCAACACCAGCCAGAAAGUACAGGAUACCAUCAAUAAUGCGGUAAACGUCAAAAAUUAACAUUUUAAUACUACUUAGAUUCAAUGCCAGUGUUCUCCAGAAACUGAUGAAUGGUUUUGAUUUUCCCCUUCAGCUGAACACUCUUCUGAAUGAACCCGGAAGUCCAACUUUACAAACCAAGACCUCCAACUUCACGUAAGAUGCAAAUUAAUUUCACAGACUUGGCUUCAUGUGUCCUUGCAUUUUAACUUUAUUGAAGCCACAUAACGUUACAAAUACCAAAAAAAACAAAAACAAGAAGUGGGUUAAAUUUCCUAAAUGAAACCUAUUAUUCGCCUUGUAGGAGCACUUCAAACCAGAUUAAUGGCAGGAUGGGAUACAGCUUCCAGAAUGGAGAUGUCAUACAACCAGUCAGCUUCCUCAAUGAGCUACGUCUACCAACCACUACAACAGUGUUCCAGUCACAACAACCAGUGUUUCUGUUACUACUCCAAAACUCAUGUAAAUUUUGGUUUUCUAUUUUAAGAAAAUUAAAAAUGCAAAAGUAAUGUUUUUAUGCAAAUAUAUUGAUGUAAAUUAAAUAAAAGUGUUUAUAUUUACAGAUCUGGUUCAGCAGUGGUCACAGGCAAGCUGGUGUUCAACUCCUCAUCUCCAGUGCCCAGUGAAUCUCUGGUCCUCAGUGCUAUCAAAUACUCUCCGUCAUUCCAGAGAGUCACAGCUCAAUGAAUCGGUGAAGAUAGUGAAUGUCACCUAUGAGAGUAAGUGUCAUCAUUUUCACUUCAAAAAUUUGAACCCAGACUGAGUCACCAAUCAUGUUUUACAGGCUUUUGUCAAAAAUUCUAAAAUUACCAUUUCCAUCCAAACAGAAAUCUCAGAAACCUCCUAUGCUGUGGUCUUUACAUUUAACGUGAUUAACAUCAGCAUGCCAGAGGACCCUGUGUCUAGAGGCAACACCAGCCAGAAAGUACAGGAUAAUCAAUAAUGCGGUAAACGUCAAAAAUUAACAUUUUAAUACUACUUAGAUUCAAUGCCAGUGUUCUCCAGAAACUGAUGAAUGGUUUGAUUUUCCCCUUCAGCUGAACACUCUUCUGAAUGAACCUGGA